rnacentral:rRNA from 1 species
UUGAACGCUGGCGGCAUGCCUUACACAUGCAAGUCGAGCGGCAGCGCGGGGGCAACCCUGGCGGGGAGCGGCAGACGGGAGAGUAACACGUGGGAACGUACCCUUCAGUUCGGAACAACCCAGGGAAACUUGGGCUAAUACCGAAUACGUCCGUAAGGAGAAAGAUUUAUCGCUGAAGGAUCGGCCCGCGUCUGAUUAGCUUGUUGGUGAGGUAACGGCUCACCAAGGCUACGAUCAGUAGCUGGUCUGAGAGGAUGAUCAGCCUCACUGGGACUGAGGCACGGCCCAGACUCCUACGGGAGGCAGCAGUGGGGAAUAUUGGACAAUGGGCGCAAGCCUGAUCCAGCCAUGCCGCGUGGGUGAUGAAGGCCCUAGGGUUGUAAAGCCCUUUCGGCGGGGAAGAUAAUGACGGUACCCGCAGAAGAAGCCCCGGCUAACUUCGUGCCAGCAGCCGCGGUAAUACGAAGGGGGCUAGCGUUGCUCGGAAUCACUGGGCGUAAAGCGCACGUAGGCGGGUUCUUAAGUCAGGGGUGAAAUCCUGGAGCUCAACUCCAGAACUGCCCUUGAUACUGAGAAUCUUGAGUCCGGGAGAGGUGAGUGGAACUGCGAGUGUAGAGGUGAAAUUCGUAGAUAUUCGCAAGAACACCAGUGGCGAAGGCGGCUCACUGGCCCGGUACUGACGCUGAGGUGCGAAAGCGUGGGGAGC